AUUGAACGCUGGCGGCAGGCCUAACACAUGCAAGUCGAGCGGAAACGAGAAUAGCUUGCUAUUCGGCGACGAGCGGCGGACGGGUGAGUAAUGCCUGGGAAAUUGCCCUGAUGUGGGGGAUAACCAUUGGAAACGAUGGCUAAUACCGCAUAAUAGCUUCGGCUUAAAGAGGGGGACCUUCGGGCCUCUCGCUUCAGGAUAUGCCCAGGUGGGAUUAGCUAGUUGGUGAGGUAAAGGCUCACCAAGGCGACGAUCCCUAGCUGGUCUGAGAGGAUGAUCAGCCACACUGGAACUGAGACACGGUCCAGACUCCUACGGGAGGCAGCAGUGGGGAAUAUUGCACAAUGGGCGCAAGCCUGAUGCAGCCAUGCCGCGUGUAUGAAGAAGGCCUUCGGGUUGUAAAGUACUUUCAGCAGUGAGGAAGGGUGUGUAGUUAAUAGCUGCAUACUUUGACGUUAGCUGCAGAAGAAGCACCGGCUAACUCCGUGCCAGCAGCCGCGGUAAUACGGAGGGUGCGAGCGUUAAUCGGAAUUACUGGGCGUAAAGCGCAUGCAGGUGGUUUGUUAAGUCAGAUGUGAAAGCCCGGGGCUCAACCUCGGAACCGCAUUUGAAACUGGCAGGCUAGAGUACUGUAGAGGGGGGUAGAAUUUCA
rnacentral:rRNA from 1 species